rnacentral:lncRNA from 1 species
GCGCGCUCUCUGCAGAAAAGGAUUUUCUACGCUCCCCGCCCAUCACUUGGAUCUCGUCUGGGGAGGGGCGGAUUUUUUUUCUGGAAGUACCCUUCUUCUCCACGGUGGAGGAUUUAAGGCUGGGCUCCAAUCGAGGCGGAGGCUGCAGGGCCCGCGGGGCGCCCCCCGCCCGGCGCACGCCUGCCCGGAGCCCGGGAAGGCGCAGCCCUGGGUGGGGGGGCCCGUGCACCCCCGGAGGCGGCAGCGGCGGUGAGUGCUCCCCUUCUUCCCGCCUGGCACCUUCCGCCAGCCAAGGCAGGGAUCGCGGCAGAUAAACCUGCCAGUAAUUUCAGCAAAUGAAACGUGGAACACGUCAAGGCCAGAGGAUGGAAAAGGCUCCAGUUUUGAUAAAAGGAGGCCUGCUUGGCUUGGAAUCCUCUCUCCUGCUGGUUGGGAGAUGCAAAGAUGUUUCCAGAGAGGGGCUGAUGAAUUGAGGGGAAAGAAAUGAGCCCAGUAUGAGUCCCCUUUCAGGGCUGAGCGUGUAUAAAACCAAACAACUUGGAACCGCUCCAAGAGAGGGGAUUAAAGCAACAUGUUAUUCUGAGUGAUUGCUUAAUUUAUUGAGCUGCGGCUGGAUCUGUAAUGAAAUACAGCCCUUGUAACUGAUAACCUCCUGCUGCCAUUGAACUUCUACAAUUAAGGAAUAUUUUCUGAGUUUCUCUGGAACGGCUCUGAAUUUUUAGCCUCUGUGGUAGGGUGCUUCUGAACAUUUGUUUUCCAGGCAAUUUUUUUUGAGUAUUAGGCUGAUGUUAAUAAAUAAGCAGCAUUUUAUUGAG